UGCAGUCUGCAACUCGACUGCAUGAAGCUGGAAUCGCUAGUAAUCGCGAAUCAGAAUGUCGCGGUGAAUACGUUCCCGGGCCUUGUACACACCGCCCGUCACACCAUGGGAGUUGGAAGCACCCGAAGUCGGUGACCUGACCGAAAGGGAGGAGCCGCCGAAGGUGAAGCCAGCGACUGGGGGUGAAGUCGUAACAAGGUAUC
rnacentral:rRNA from 1 species